UACGUAGGGUGCAAGCGUUGUCCGGAAUUAUUGGGCGUAAAGAGCUCGUAGGCGGUCAGUCGCGUCUGCUGUGAAAACCCGAGGCUCAACCUCGGGCCUGCAGUGGGUACGGGCAGACUAGAGUGCGGUAGGGGAGAUUGGAAUUCCUGGUGUAGCGGUGGAAUGCGCAGAUAUCAGGAGGAACACCAAUGGCGAAGGCAGAUCUCUGGGCCGUAACUGACGCUGAGGAGCGAAAGCAUGGGGAGCGAACAGG
rnacentral:rRNA from 1 species